CAGUAGCCGCGGUAAUACGUAGGUCCCGAGCGUUGUCCGGAUUUAUUGGGCGUAAAGCGAGCGCAGGCGGUUAGAUAAGUCUGAAGUUAAAGGCUGUGGCUUAACCAUAGUACGCUUCGGAAACUGUUUAACUUGAGUGCAAGAGGGGAGAGUGGAAUUCCAUGUGUAGCGGUGAAAUGCGUAGAUAUAUGGAGGAACACCGGUGGCGAAAGCGGCUCUCUGGCUUGUAACUGACGCUGAGGCUCGAAAGCGUGGGGAGCAAACAGGAUUAGAUACCCCUGUAGUCCCUGUCUCUUAUACA
rnacentral:rRNA from 1 species